AUAGAAUAAAUAUGCUCCAUUACAUUCAUAUACCAUAACUCAUCCAGCCAUUCUCACUGAUGAGCAUCCCCCUCAAUUUCCAGUUCCUUGCCACUACAAAAAGGGCUGCCACAAACAUUUAACAUCGUCUCUGGGGGCUGAAUGCUGUGAUGAUCCUCAUUGGACAUCUUCCUCCUCUGUAACAUCAGGAUAAAGCCAUCUACCAGCACGAUUGUUUGAAGAAUUAAAUGGGAUAUGGUUUGUAAUAUGAGUAGUGUAGCAACUGACACAGAGGAGAUGCCAUGUGAAUGCUUAUUCUCCUUCUACAGGUGAGCUGAGGCAGAUGGAAGUUCUUUGACUGGUCUAAGAUCACACCGUUAGUAAAGGGAUUUAUUUUAUGAGCACAAACCCACUUGUGAAAAGUAAAAGGAAGUAACUGUUACAAAAUAUUGAUGCUCUGGGGCAGAUCGAGGACUGAGCAGCUAUGGGUCCAGAAAGAGAUACAAAAACAAGACCUGAAGGACAAGAAAGGCCUCGGGGAAGUGCAGGAUGAUGAAGAAACUGAGGCACAGGAAGGUUAUGAUUCAUCAAACAUCAUAAAGGUAAUAAAUGCCCAAGGCUAGAUUUGG